GCGACGCUGGCGGCGUGCCCAAUCAUGCAAGUCGAACGAACUCUGGUAUUGAUUGGUGCUUGCAUCAUGAUUUACAUUUGAGUGAGUGGCGAACUGGUGAGUAACACGUGGGAAACCUGCCCAGAAGCGGGGGAUAACACCUGGAAACAGAUGCUAAUACCGCAUAACAACUUGGACCGCAUGGUCCGAGUUUGAAAGAUGGCUUCGGCUAUCACUUUUGGAUGGUCCCGCGGCGUAUUAGCUAGAUGGUGAGGUAACGGCUCACCAUGGCAAUGAUACGUAGCCGACCUGAGAGGGUAAUCGGCCACAUUGGGACUGAGACACGGCCCAAACUCCUACGGGAGGCAGCAGUAGGGAAUCUUCCACAAUGGACGAAAGUCUGAUGGAGCAACGCCGCGUGAGUGAAGAAGGGUUUCGGCUCGUAAAACUCUGUUGUUAAAGAAGAACAUAUCUGAGAGUAACUGUUCAGGUAUUGACGGUAUUUAACCAGAAAGCCACGGCUAACUACGUGCCAGCAGCCGCGGUAAUACGUAGGUGGCAAGCGUUGUCCGGAUUUAUUGGGCGUAAAGCGAGCGCAGGCGGUUUUUUAAGUCUGAUGUGAAAGCCUUCGGCUCAACCGAAGAAGUGCAUCGGAAACUGGGAAAACUUGAGUGCAGAAGAGGACAGUGGAACUCCAUGUGUAGCGGUGAAAAUGCGUAAAUAUAUGGAAGAACACCAGUGGCGAANGCGGCUGUCUGGUCUGUACUGACGCUGANGCUCGAAAGUAUGGGUAGCAACAGGAUUANAUACCUGGUAGUCNUACCGUAACGAUGAAUGCUAANUGUUGGAGGNUUCCCCCUUCAUGCUGCANCUANGCAUUAACAUUCCCCUGGGGAGUACGCCNCAGGCUGAACUCAAGNAUUGACGGGGCCCCCNANCGGGGACAUGUGUUUAUUCNAACUNCCGAAACCUUACNGGCUNGNUACUUGAANUUAAAAUUAACNUCCUNCGGGANUGNACNGGGGGCAGNUNCCCCCNCCGNC
rnacentral:rRNA from 1 species